CUUACUCAGCUGCUUCCGCGCGGAUGAGGAGGGGGAUUUGGUAGUAAAUUCCUGUUCGUGGGAACGAAACGCUAUAGUAUUAAUACUGUUAUUGUUUGUCGGUACCAUCAAAGGAAGCACCGGUUUAUUCCGUCCCCGCAGCUGCGGUAAUACGGAGGGUGCAAGCGGUUUUUAGUUAUUGGGGGUAAAUCGUCUUUUUGUCGUUAUUUAAGUCAGAUGUGAAAGUCCCCGGCUCAACCGUGGAAGUGCAUUUGAAACUGGAUAGCUUGAGUAUUGGAGGGGGUAGUGGAAUUCCCGGUGUAGAGGGGAAAUUCGUAGAUAUCGGACCGAAUACCGGGGGGGAAGGCGACUACCUGGCCAAAUACUGACACUGAGGUGGGAAAGCGUGGGGGGCAAACAGGUUUAGAUACCCUGGUAGUCCACGCCGUA
rnacentral:rRNA from 1 species